CCACUUCCUGUGAAUUUUUGAUAUAUAUUAUUCAGAUUGUUGAAAAAUUUUUUGUAUAUAAAAAAUGAUGAAACUUUGGCCCCACUAAUUCACACAAUAGAGGCCAGUGGAGAAAAUAUUAGCCUACGUUAAGUAUCAUACACUCUAUUGAUGCUAUUUUUGAUCCUAGAAUUAAACAAACUGGUGUUCUUUAUUUACUUGAUGAAUAUCACCAGUACAUGCUAACCGAUUCAAC
rnacentral:lncRNA from 1 species